GAAUAUUAGAAGCAUAAUCUGUUGGGGAAAGUGUCAUAACUAAACACAACCUGCAGGAGUGAGUGGGUGUGAAGUACAGUACACUUGUGGAUUGCCUUGGUCAUCAGUACAGUAUUUGAAAUGUCACGUAAGAAAUCCACAGUGCACACACCUCUGGGACAAUCUGCAUGAAGCGGCGUGCCUUAUCCGCUUGAACUGGACGCACAUUUGACAUGAUUGAAGGGUGUCCUUUUUUGGUGCCGCAUUCCCCGUCACACGCUUGCCCUUGAUCAACUACACGUGGCAGACAAUGGCACUGAUCAUUUUCCCCCGGCGAGGAAACCCAGCAUGGAUCAACUCAAUAACCUGAUAUUCUCCGUCCACUCAAUCUGGACAAUUUAGCGGCAGGUCAGCACCUUUCUCUCUUUUUUUUUUUUUUUCUCUCACAGACAAUUUGGUGACCUCCCCCCUGAGCACUGGCAGGUCCAAAGGAGACAAACACAAUUGUAGCACGAGCAAAAGUGCUUGUGAUGUGAACAUGUGUGGAUCUCAAUUUCUCAAGGUGAUACCUGGUGUGGGACACAGAGCGGUGGUGGUGGCGGUGCGAGGGGCUGGGGGGUGCUAUUAUGCAAACUCGAUAUCCAGCAUGCUUGCAAAUGACAUUUUUUAUGUAUUUUCCACCGUACAGUUACCGUCGCACAUGCAUGUUUGAAUUGCUGUGCUUACAAAUCAUUUUGCAUCAUCCUGUUACGUUGCGAGGUGCCAUUCAGCUUCACAUUAAGCACUCGUUCCCCCCGGGGGAUUACGGCCUGUGCUUCUCCUUUUUUUAGGGAUGGAAUUCAAAUCGGAUUAAUCUUCAUUGUGGAAUUUCUGCCCUGCUGUUUCACAUUUACUGUUAGCCGCAUCCAGCUGUGAAAAGUGAAUCGACAACAAUAUCCUGCAUGAUGAUGUCCAUUGUGUCCGUCUAUUUCUUACUGACGAGACAAUUGUCUGAGAUUAUGGACGGACGCUGUCGUGUAGUUACCUUCGCUAUGCAGACUAACUCUCCUUCAUUGCUCACCUCAAGGUCAAACCCGACAGCUGCGCUUCAACUCCCUCCAAUUGAAGCAGAACUGAGCAGUGCGCUCUCGGUCUUGUCUUGCGGUGACAAGAGCAGGCCGUUAGUGUUAUUCAGCCUAUUGGAAGACAAUUUCAGAUAUGACAGGAGACCUUUUUGUGUCUGGAAAUGUACAUUAAAUGGUGUCAACAACAUCCUCCGAGGUCACAACAGAGUCCCCCCACGGAGUGUGCGAGCCGGCGAGAAUCCGCACCGGCGCUUGACGGCUCCGUGGCAGCUUUGACACAGACUGUAAUCUGCGCUGGACUUUGGCUCUGAUUACACGUGUCUCAGGGAGCAAAACAAGGACUGCCAGCACUGGGCCCUUGCCGGGCUUUUCAGCUUUCAAGAGGACUCGAGUCCGCCUCGAAGGGAUCCAACAUGGGGCCACUGCAGUUUGGUUUUUCCAAUCAGCCAUGCGUUCCUGCCCUAUGGUUAUGCUCAUUCCCACUGUGACAUAUCACAAAGGGCGACUUGGCAAUUUCCAUCGAGAUGGACCAACUGCAGACAGCUCUUUGCUUUUGAUAAUGUCACCGCGACAGCAGAACCCGAGUCCCGUUUCCAUCACCGUGCGGGCUGGAGAGGAGGAACGCCUUUGGGAGCCUCCUGCCACUCUCAUGCCGUAUGCGUGGACCUCUUCUCAGGUAACUCGCACCCAACUGGGGGUUUGGUUUAAGCAGUUUACAACAGAGACUGGAGGAGUCACAGAAAGGCAUAGAAGUGUGUAACCAUGGUAAUUAAUUUGAAUCAAACAUCUGAAUUUAAGAUGUUAGCUAAUAAGGAGCCGUCCUUAUUAAAGAACAGCAAGUUGUGCAAAAAGUAGUGAACAGUUGGACAUUUGCAUUCAAACGUUUGGAGAAGGCUUGUUUUAAAGUUCAUCCAGCA